ACGAAUGUGACGGCCAACAGCAGUGGCCAAAGUUUGAUACAAAUACCACUCGGCAUACCGAGGUUAAGUUUUUCAAGCGUCGUCAGGACUGGCGGGCUCCACGAAAGUGUCGAGGUCGAUCCCGUCUGCGAUGCGAGUGGCGCUCUCAAGGAAGGUCUCCAUGAAAUCUUCGAAUCGAAGCUUCUUGGUGUUGGCGACCUGCAACGCUUUCAACUUCUCUUCGCGAGCUACC
rnacentral:lncRNA from 1 species